GUGGCUCAAAGAGAUUUAAUCACGUGCUCGAGACCACACGGUUAGGAAGCAGAGAAGUCAUUAUUUGAUCUAAAGUUUGCUUUCACUGAAAUCAUGCCAUUUGCAGCAACAUGGAUGGAUCUAGAGAUUAUCAUACUAAGGUGGGUGUGCGAUGCUGUAGCACACGUGUGUGAGAGGACCUCCCUCCACUGUGUCACCAUCUGCAGUGUGGUCAGCAGGAGAGCCCAGUGGAAGAAAUGACCCCGCAGGAAUCUUGAAGACGUCCUCUUGACGACGUGGGAUGAGAAGUGACUGAUGGCGAGCAGAAUUCCAGGCUGUGUCCACCGCACAGAGUCGCGCCUGCUGGAUCACACAGGAUUGACCAGAGACCCCACGGAGACCAACAAAAAUUACUCAGGCCUGCUCACAAGUGAACUGUGGCUCAAUACCAAGCAAUUGCUUCCGGAUGUGCUUGUUACAGCAGAGAGAUGAAAAACAAGUUCCAAGCU